rnacentral:rRNA from 1 species
UACGUAGGGACCAAGCGUUGUUCGGAUUUACUGGGCGUAAAGGGCGCGUAGGCGGCGUGACAAGUCACUUGUGAAAUCUCUGAGCUUAACUCAGAACGGCCAAGUGAAACUGUCGUGCUAGAGUGCAGAAGGGGCAAUCGGAAUUCUUGGUGUAGCGGUGAAAUGCGUAGAUAGUCAAAAGGAACACCUGAGGUGAAGACGGGUUGCUGGGCUGACACUGACGCUGAUGCGGCGAAAGCCAGGGGAGCAAACGGG